rnacentral:rRNA from 1 species
GAUCCUACGGGAGGCAGCAGUGGGGAAUAUUGCACAAUGGGGGAAACCCUGAUGCAGCAACGCCGCGUGAGUGAAGAAGGGUUUCGGAUUGUAAAGCUCUGUUAGCAGGGAAGAGGAAGGACGGUACCUGCAGAGGAAGCCACGGCUAACUACGUGCCAGCAGCCGCGGUAAUACGGAGGAUGCGAGCGUUAUCCGGAUUUAUUGGGUUUAAAGGGUGCGCAGGCGGUCUGUUAAGUCAGCGGUCAAAGCCCGGGGCUCAACCCCGGCCCGCCGUUGAAACUGGCAGUCUCGAGUUGGAGAGAAG